GGGAAGAUGGCUCAGUGGUAGAGUGCUUGCCUUGCAUGCAUGAGACCCUGGGUUCGAUUCCUCAGUACCA
rnacentral:tRNA from 1 species